GUGGGGAAUUUUGGACAAUGGGCGCAAGCCUGAUCCAGCAAUGCCGCGUGCAGGAAGAAGGCCUUCGGGUUGUAAACUGCUUUUGUCAGGGAAGAAAUCUUCUGGGCUAAUACCCCGGGAGGAUGACGGUACCUGAAGAAUAAGCACCGGCUAACUACGUGCCAGCAGCCGCGGUAAUACGUAGGGUGCGAGCGUUAAUCGGAAUUACUGGGCGUAAAGCGUGCGCAGGCGGCUUUGCAAGACAGAUGUGAAAUCCCCGGGCUCAACCUGGGAACUGCAUUUGUGACUGCAAGGCUAGAGUACGGCAGAGGGGGAUGGAAUUCCGCGUGUAGCAGUGAAAUGCGUAGAUAUGCGGAGGAACACCAAUGGCGAAGGCAAUCCCCUGGGCCUGUACUGACGCUCAUGCACGAAAGCGUGGGGAGCAAACAGGAUUAGAUACCCUUGUAGUCC
rnacentral:rRNA from 1 species